UUAGAAAACUUGAAAAAUAUUGCUGUUUCACUAAUGCUUUAUGCUUAAUUUGACUAACUUUUCUGAUUCAUUUUCAUUUAAGCACUGUAGAGGAUUUUCAUCUUUCAGCUUCCUCGGCCCCGGGAGAGGUUGGUACUUGAUCCGCAUGAGCAUUUUCUCUAUAUAAGAAGAAGACGGAGACUCGCUAUCCACCUGAUGUAUUUUGUUGGACAGUUUUCUGUACUUUGCAGUCACAACUAUAUCCAGGUCUGAUCACAGGAAUGAAAUUUACUCAUUCCCUGGAACACUACUUGCAGCAGGGAGGUGUCAUUAAUUAAGAUGGUCACAGUUUCCAAGACACUGAAGUGACAGGCCUCAAAUUUCACACAUAAACAUUGG